rnacentral:tRNA from 2 species
CGGGAUGUGGCUCAGCUUGGUAGAGCGCUGCGUUCGGGACGCAGAGGUCGCUGGUUCAAAUCCAGUCAUCCCGACCA